CCAAUGGCAGUCAGAGAGGCAGCACCAGUGACUUCAGAGUAAAUUCCCAGAGGGCACUCUGUGCCUUGCGCUGCCCUCCCCAGGUCCAGAAACUCCGAGCCUACCAAGCAAUAAAUGCCAGCCAGCUUCAGGGCCCUUUCCAGUAUCGACUUCCAUAAAGGGAAAUGGAGGACCAUAAUAACAUAAGAAAAAUCCUGGAGACAAGCCUCCUUAGUCAAGCAUUUCCCUGAACUGAACUAACUUCAGAUUU